UACUCGAGUGGCGAACGGGUGAGUAACACGUGGGUGAUCUGCCCUGCACUUCGGGAUAAGCUUGGGAAACUGGGUCUAAUACCGGGUAGGAGCCAUCUUUAGUGUGGUGGUUGGAAAGUUUUUUCGGUGUAGGGUGAGCUCGCGGCCUAUCAGCUUGUUGGUGGGGUAAUGGCCUACCAAGGCGGCGACGGGUAGCCGGCCUGAGAGGGUGUACGGCCACAUUGGGACUGAGAUACGGCCCAG
rnacentral:rRNA from 1 species